rnacentral:rRNA from 1 species
GAUGAACGCGUAGGCGACAGGCCUAACACAUGCAAGUCGAGGGGCAGGCACGAGAAGGGUAGCUUGCUACUUUGGGUGGCGACCGGCGCACGGGUGCGUAACAGGUGUGCAAUCUGUCCAUAAUCGGGGAAUAGCCCAGCGAAGGUUGGAUUAAUGCUCCAUGUGAGUAAGAGAGGCAUCUCUUUUAUUUGAAACGUAUGGAUUAUGGGUGAGCACGCUUCUGAUUAGGUAGUUGGUGAGGUAACGGCUCACAAGCCGACGAUCAGCAGGGGUUCUGAGAGGAAGGUCCCCCACAUUGGAACUGAGACACGGUCCAA